GAAAGGAGGAAUCUGCGUGCUACUUGGGGCAAUGCCUGGCCUGUGGCAGAAGGCAUCUUCAGGGCUCCAUUCUCGUGCGGGAUGGGAUGUUCCUGUAUUUGAAGAGAAGCAGAGUAGCUGUGGAAUCUCCGUAUAUGUUUCAAGUACUCCUUGCCAACGCAAUGCCUCCUACACUACCGGUAUUCCUAAUGAAAAAAGUUGUCAUCUACGAAUACAUAUGUCUUUACUUUAA